GGAGCAGUGGCCGAGCGGCUUAAGGCGAUGGUCUUGAAAACCAUUGUACCGAAAGGUACCGGGGGUUCGAAUCCCUCCUGCUCCG
rnacentral:tRNA from 1 species